rnacentral:rRNA from 1 species
UACGUAGGGGACUAGCGUUGUUCGGAAUCACUGGGCGUAAAGCGCACGUAGGCGGAUUUGUAAGUCAACUGUGAAAUCCCGGGGCUCAACCUCGGAACUGCCUUUGAUACUGCGAAUCUUGAGUCCGAUAGAGGUGGGUGGAAUUCCUAGUGUAGAGGUGAAAUGCGUAGAUAUUAGGAAGAACACCAGUGGCGAAGGCGGCCCACUGGAUCGGUACUGACGCUGAGGUGCGAAAGCGUGGGGAGCAAACCGG